rnacentral:rRNA from 1 species
GCUAGCGGGAUGCUUUACACAUGCAAGUCGAACGGCAGCGCGAGAGAGCUUGCUCUCUUGGCGGCGAGUGGCGGACGGGUGAGUAAUGUAUCGGAACGUGCCCAGUAGCGGGGGAUAACUACUCGAAAGAGUAGCUAAUACCGCAUACGCCCUAYGGGGGAAAGGGGGGGAUCGCAAGACCUCUCACUAUUGGAGCGGCCGAUAUCGGAUUAGCUAGUUGGUGGGGUAAAGGCCUACCAAGGCGACGAUCCGUAGCUGGUUUGAGAGGACGACCAGCCACACUGGGACUGAGACACGGCCCAGACUCCUACGGGAGGCAGCAGUGGGGAAUUUUGGACAAUGGGGGAAACCCUGAUCCAGCCAUCCCGCGUGUAUGAUGAAGGCCUUCGGGUUGUAAAGUACUUUUGGCAGAGAAGAAAAGGCGCCCUCUAAUACAGGGCGCUGCUGACGGUAUCUGCAGAAUAAGCACCGGCUAACUAC